AUCUAACUGACGAGUCCCAAAUAGAGGGAAAAACACGCGUCCUGGAU
rnacentral:hammerhead_ribozyme from 1 species